GUGUGUAUUUUUGCGUUGCUCACAGAUGAUCAAGUUAGAUGCUCACCUAAUGUGUUGCUGAGUCAUCAAGGAUCCAGCUUGUUCUUGAAACAUUGAAGUUUGUGCUCUGCAAGUGAACGAUGCCUUGUGGUGCCAUCCCAAAGAGGUUCAAAAUCACUCUCAAGGACCUUUUCCUGGACUGUGCCCAGCUGGUGGAAUGACCUCCCAAUCUCAAUUCGUACAGCUUUGAGUCUUUACUCAUUUUCAAGAAACCUCUAAAGACUCAUCUUUUUCACCAGAACUUAACCAACUAAUACUAGCACUUUUACUUGUUUUCUUGUCUUUCAUAUAUAAAAAAAAAAAACCUGGCUAUGUCUUCUGUACUAGACUGAGACUUGUCAUGGCACUUGUAUAC